UGAUAGCUAUGAAACGUGAGGUUGCUGCAUAUAAUUGCAGGUUUUCCGCGGAGCGAAUGUCAAGUUAGGAAACUGACGACAA
rnacentral:ncRNA from 1 species